rnacentral:rRNA from 1 species
AUUCCGGUUGAUCCUGCCGGAGGCCAUUGCUAUUGGGAUCCGAUUCAGCCAUGCAAGUCGUGCGGGUUCAGACCCGCGGCGAACGGCUCCGUAACACGUGGUCAAGCUACCCUAUGGACCGGGAUACUCUCGGGAAACUGAGGCUAAUCCCGGAUAGCGCUUUCAGCCUGGAGUGGCGAAAGCGCCAAACGCUCCGGCGCCACAGGAUGUGACUGCGGCCGAUUAGGUAGACGGUGGGGUAACGGCCCACCGUGCCAAUAAUCGGUACGGGUAGUGAGAGCUAGAGCCCGGAGACGGACUCUGAGACAAGAGUCCGGGCCCUACGGGGCGCAGCAGGCGCGAAACCUUUACACUGCACGAUAGUGCGAUAGGGGGAUCCCAAGUGCGAGGGCAUACAGUCCUCGCUUUUUCCGACCGUAAGGUGGUCGGCGAAUAAGAGCUGGGCAAGACCGGUGCCAGCCGCCGCGGUAAUACCGGCAGCUCAAGUGAUGGCCGAUUUUAUUGGGCCUAAAGCGUCCGUAGCUGGCUAGAUAGGUCCGUCGGGAAAUUCACCCGCUCAACGGGUGGGCGUCCGGCGGAAACCAGCUAGCUUGGGACCGAGCGACCUGAGGGGUACGUCCGGGGUAGGAGUGAAAUCCCGUAAUCCCGGACGGACCAUCGGUGGCGAAAGCGCCUCAGGAGAGCGGAUCCGACGGUGAGGGACAAAAGCUUGGGUCUCGAACCGGAUUAGAUACCCGGGUAGUCCAAGCUGUAAACGAUGCUCGCUAGGUGUGGCGCUGGCUACGAGCCAGCGCUGUGCCGUAGGGAAGCCGUGAAGCGAGCCGCCUGGGAAGUACGUCCGCAAGGAUGAAACUUAAAGGAAUUGGCGGGGGAGCACUACAACCGGAGGAGCCUGCGGUUUAAUUGGACUCA